rnacentral:ncRNA from 1 species
UCCGUCGCGAGGUGGAAUCCGAAGGAAGCUGUAGGCAAACUCCUGGCCCGACGGCCAGGCACCGCAUAGGAGGCAGCCACCCCGGGGCGAGAGGGCCAUGGCACUCGAAGCCCAAUAGCUAUCCCGAAGAUGUGGCAGUAGAGGCAGUCGGUAGAUGGGGGAAGGUCGUGCGC